rnacentral:rRNA from 1 species
UACGUAGGGGGCAAGCGUUGUUCGGAAUUAUUGGGCGUAAAGAGCUCGUAGGCGGUGUGUCGCGUCGGCCGUGAAAACCUGGGGCUUAACUCUGGGCGUGCGGUCGAUACGGGCAUCACUGGAGUUCGGCAGGGGAGACUGGAAUUCCUGGUGUAGCGGUGAAAUGCGCAGAUAUCAGGAGGAACACCGGUGGCGAAGGCGGGUCUCUGGGCCGAUACUGACGCUGAGGAGCGAAAGCAUGGGUAGCGAACAGG